rnacentral:rRNA from 1 species
UACGUAGGGGGCUAGCGUUGUCCGGAAUCAUUGGGCGUAAAGCGCGCGUAGGCGGCCCGGUAAGUCCGUUGUGAAAGUCAAAGGCUCAACCUUUGAAAGCCGAUGGAUACUGCCGGGCUGGAGUCCGGAAGAGGCGAGUGGAAUUCCUGGUGUAGCGGUGGAAUGCGCAGAUAUCAGGAGGAACACCGAUGGCGAAGGCAGCUCGCUGGGACGGUACUGACGCUGAGACGCGAAAGCGUGGGGAGCAAACAGG